GGGGAUGUAGCUCAGUUGGCUAGAGUGCUUGACUGGCAGUCAAGAGGUCGUGGGUUCGAGCCCCAUCUUCUCCAC
rnacentral:tRNA from 3 species